CUGAAUGUGCGACUGAGGCCACUGCUGCUGCCUAUCAAAUCUUUUGACUUCCCUUCUUUCUUCCAGCUCCUUUCAGCAGUUCUGGGGUUGAUGAUGUGGACUGUCUGCUUAAAACAUCCUAAAGUUACAUGGAGAUUACUGCAGUGAGAUCUGCAGAUGUAAUCGUCCUAGCAGACCCAGGCUGGAAGCACCCUGGAAGUCGACCAUCAUGUUUUGGACUGGGUAGGAGGACAGGAGCUCAGGCCAGGAGUACUCUGCAAUUCUGUGGGACAGAAGAAG